CAAACGCUCUUCAAUGGUAGUGUUUUGACCGAUCUCUUCGUUCACGGUCAGUGGAACUCUGGAUGUGGCAAAGAAUAUCUGUUUUCCUCCAAAUCCAUGAUUUGGGCAGACGCUUGGUCAUAUUGCUGCUCAGUUGGAAUGAAAUUAGCCUCGAUUGAAGCUUUGAAUGAGUUGCAGUGUUUGACAAAUAUGGUGGCAAAAUUCCCUGCAGCAGUGUAUCCAUAUCAAACUGGAAGAGACUUUUGGACUUCAGGGACUAACACAGGUUGCCCAGGUCCGCACUUUUGGUGCUCGGAAAAUGACAAAGUGCACGUCGAGGAAAUCGCCAAUUGGAAAGACGGAAAAUUUCCAACGGAAAAAGCGGAA